AAACCGGGGUGUGGGGGAGCUGCCCGAGGAGGGGCUGCGGCGGGGGCCUGGCAGCUGGCCCCUCGCGGCCGGGCAGCCUUCCCCGGGCCCAGGCCAUCCGCCCCUCGGUCUGUGCUGAAGCCCUGGCUUUUGUUGGAGCGGCUUUUGUGCCUGUUGGAUUACGAAGACGCGCAGGAGGCGUGCCGGCCUCGCAGCUCCUGAGGCACCAGAAAUGGCCUUGCCCAGCCACGGCCCCUCUGCUCCUGCCUGCCUGGAGAGGGAGAAGGAACCAGCGACCAGCCCGCAAACUGCACGAACUCGCCACCCGUCCCCAGCUGUCAAAUCAAUGGGCCCAUUUGCCAGCUACCGCACAUGCCACGGUACAUUCCAACAGCUACUUCUUACCGCCUUUCUAACUCCUAGUCUUGUUUUGAGGUUUGGCCUUUUUGCAGGGGCAUUUCUAUUUAAUUUUUCUCCUGUUUGUGCCACUGAGGGCAGUAGGAUGAGUGAUGAGGCAAUAAUAACUGAUGAGCAGUUAAAAAAUUUGGAGAGAAGAAGAAAGUAAUUUUGCUUGAGGAAGUUUUGAAAAGCUGUAGUAUAACAAAAAUAUAUAAAUGCUAAAAAGUCAGUCACUAGAUAUCAGUUGUUGUAUUAAACUUGUUGUAGUUAAAAAAGGAAAGGGAAAGCAAAUAUUUUGAGACAUCCAGAAAAAUCACAAAAAAACAAAUAAAAAAUUACAAAAAGGUGGAGUUGACCUCUUUGCCUGCUGUGUGCCAGGGAGCCAACAAACAUGGCAGCAAGAGAGAGAGUGUCCAAGAAUAUGCCAUGAGUAGCAAAUGGCGAGAGAGGAAACAAAUAGCCAUAGCUAUUUGUAGCUAUAGAGGUGUAGCUGUGUGUAUGAAUAUAUAGAGGCAGUAAGAAAACUGGUGUACUGAAAAGGAAGAUCUGGCAAGAAUGCAAAAGCCUGUUGCUAUACUUGGAGCUUCCAAAGGGAUCGUGAUUCAGGGUCCAUACAAAGGUUCGUGACAGCUGGAGUUGGACGGCUAGUCUCACUUCAUUAGGAAAAUGACAGAAGGUGUUCACAUUUCCACGAGAAAAGAGUUACCAACAAGCAUAACUGAGACCAGUAUUUCAGGGCAGGCUUCUCCAAAGCUCAGCAGAGUCCUGGUGAGUCCACAUCUGUCUACCACAUUGCUUUAAUCUGUGCAUGCCAUCCCCUCUUCACUUACGCUGCAGUGUUAUGCUCUUUAUGUUGCAGACAUGGCUUGGGCACCACGCUGACCUGUGACCCUGAACCCUGCUUUCUCUGAGAUUGUUCAUAUGUCAAAAUCUAGGUCUGCUAUGUUUUUAGUUUAGCAGUAGGAGCCCAUAUGGAAUGCUUUAAUGACCAUUGUAAAGAGUACUGUAAGAGAGUCAGUAAUUAGAUUGCUGUAACAUUCUCCUCAUCUACUUGGCUUCCCAUAUGCCGUAAUAUCAUUUAAUAAGAUGUUGUAAAUAAUCAGGAAGCUGACCAGCAAUUAUACUGAAACGGAACAUGCCCAUGUCCUCUCCUCUCACACCCACACAAGGCCAUCAGUUAAUAAGGAAGAAUUACCCAAAUUUAGGAUACAUGGGUCAAAGAAACUGGUACAGCUCAAACCUUUUUUUAAUUCCUGUAGGUGGGGUGGGUUAUCAUUUUACAGGGAUUGGUCUUAAUCCAAUGGAAUUUAGAUAGGAAGGAAGGGAGGACAAGGAGUUUAAUGUCUCGCAUUGAAUGGACUUCAGGAAUUACCAAAACUGCAUGUUAGCUGGUUGCCCCUGUGAUGUCAUAGUUUUCUUGAUUAAAAGUACUCAGUCCCCUCCUGAGUGGAAUAAACAGGUUAUCAAUUAUCAGUACCACCCUUAUGAAUAAAAUUUAAUCAGCAUUGAACAUAAACUGUGUCAAGAGCUUUGACUGACUUACGGGAGGGGAGUUAUGGCUUUUUUGGCUUCUUUCUUGGUAUGUAAACAAUGUCUAGAUCAAUUUGUGAUCCUUUUAACAUUUCUUCACCACGAGACCUAAUCUGUUCAAGGGUACUGUACCAUUGGUCAGUUUGCUGCUGUCUUCCCCUUAUAGGAUGGCAUAUUCUUGAUCCUGCCCUUGUCCAGGGAUAGCUUUUCUUCCUACUGUACCAGGCUGAAAACUGAGUUCCUCUUGGGGGCCAAAAGCCAUAAGACAUGGACAAUAUACCUCAUGAGAGUGGGAGGGCAUGGUUUCCUCCCAGUCGGAAAGUAAUAACGGUUCUUCAGGCCUUCUACUGCUCCCUUAUGAAUAGGGUUGGGUGUAUAGUUUUGUCCUAUGGGACCCAGCAGCCACUGUUGCCUUAAUUGGCUUUAAAUACAGGGACUGUGAUGAAUAAUGGCCCUGUGGCAGCCCAGUCCUGCUGCUGGACACAUCAGGCACAGACCAGCAGCUGGACCACACAAGAGUUCACGUUGCUAGCUCUUCCCCAGACUCUUUCUCAUAAACCAGUGUGCUCUACACUGCUGUUCCCAGGCUUUUCUAUUGUAUUACCAUACAUCAGCAUCCAAGAGGAACAGGGAUAGUUCCUAAAUUUAGGGCUGUCCAUCUGGCAGCAUAAUAAAGUUUAAGAUUAAUGGGAAGUGACUGAUAAAGGUACCCAAUGAAGCCAUAAAUGGUGUGUUACAGGAGAACAUUUUGUUCCUGCUUAUGCUUUUGAGGAGAGUACUAUGUCUUCAAAGUAGGGAGGACUCUGGGUUUUUUGGUGGUUUUUUUUUAGGCUUCCAGGCAUUGUUCGUGACUCACCCAAUUCUUUCACGGCUCAGCUUCCGGUCUGCACACGUGGAAGGACCUGUCCCCAAAUCUGUUUACUUACCAUAAAUGCUCCGUCUUCUGAGGGGAGAAGUAACUCUGAAUCUCCGGCAUGCAGCUUCAUACCACCCCAGAACUGGGUGACAAGAUGAGGAAAGGCUAAACGGAAAGCUGCUGCUUGUUGCCUGUUCUGAGAUCCAGUCAGCAACACCAAAGCCAACAGAAGCAUUCACUGUCCAGUUACCUACAUAAACAAGUUUGUUCCUUGUGAUGAAAAACAAUACAAAGGAAAAGACUGAUGCUGGGAUUUGGAACGUGCUGCGAGCCUGACUGAGACCUGCUGGACACUGCUCCUUUCCCCAGGCACCAAACAUGGCCUUCACAUAAGGAUGGAGACAUGAAGGUCUGUGCUAUGUCUCAUCACCUCUUUUCUUUUCAAAGAUCAAUUGUAUUUGAUGUUUGUCAAAUCAUAUCCCAAGACAGUAAGCAUAAACGUAUUAACUUUA